rnacentral:rRNA from 1 species
CAGCCGCCGCGGGAAUACAGAGGGUGCGAGCGUUAAUCGGAUUUACUGGGCGUAAAGCGUGCGUAGGCGGCUUCUUAAGUCGGAUGUGAAAUCCCUGAGCUUAACUUAGGAAUUGCAUUCGAUACUGGGAAGCUAGAGUAUGGGAGAGGAUGGUAGAAUUCCAGGUGUAGCGGUGAAAUGCGUAGAGAUUUGGAGGAAUACCGAUGGCGAAGGCAGCCAUCUGGCCUAAUACUGACACUGAGGUACGAAAGCAUGGGGAGCAAACAGGAUUAGAUACCCCUGUAGUCCCUGUCUCUUAUAC